UGAUUCAUCGCCAUUAAAAAU
ensembl:piRNA 21ur-679 ncRNA